UACGUAGGUGACAAGCGUUGUCCGGAUUUACUGGGCGUAAAGAGUAUGUAGGUGGGCAUUUAAGUCAGAUGUGAAAUUCCCGGGCUUAACCUGGGAGCUGCAUUUGAAACUGGGUGCCUAGAGUGCAGGAGAGGAAAGUGGAAUUCCUAGUGUAGCGGUGAAAUGCGUAGAGAUUAGGAAGAACACCAGUGGCGAAGGCGACUUUCUGGACUGUAACUGACACUGAGAUACGAAAGCGUGGGUAGCAAACAGG
rnacentral:rRNA from 1 species